GUUAAAUUUUUUAACUCUCCAAAUUCUUAAAAAAAAAAAAAAAAAAAAAAAAAUUGAAAACUGUGAGAGAAAGAGUUAUGUUAUACAGGAGUUGUGUGUUUAAGCUGUCAAAUUAACUACAGAUUUGUGUCAUUUUCCUAUUUUGCCCACAAUUAUUGAAGUCCUUUUAAAUACUAGAAAAAAGAUACUUUAAACAGAAAGGGCCGUAUUCUUAAAAGAAAGAAAAAUCAUUUUUGGCAUCACAUAUUUUUAUAUAAUUAUCCUCAGUAAUUUUAUUUAAUAAUAUAAUGCAUUUAAUUCAAAUAUAUAUAUAUAUCGUUUUGAGCCUCACAUUUUCUCGUAUAUAAUUAUUCUCAUGUAAUUCUCAUUAAUUUUAUUUCUAUAUUUAAUUUAUGUGUUUCAGUGGUGGAUACAAAUAGUUGCAGAAAAAAAGGUCACUGGUCUUUAGCACCUCUUAGCACAGAUUGGGCAUCUACACCUAUUGGUCAUGUUUUUCAUCCAGUAGACAUCACAAAGAAAGACGAACCCACACAUGAAGGUGAAACCAGUUCUGCAGAAAACA